rnacentral:tRNA from 1 species
CGGAGGUAAGCGAUCUGGUGGAUGGCGACGUUCUUAUACAGCGUUAAAGGUGAGUUCGAUCCUCACACCUCCGACCA